rnacentral:tRNA from 1 species
GGACCUUUAGUAUAUUUAGUAUUUUUAAUUGCAGAUUAAAAGGACGCGGGUCUU